rnacentral:rRNA from 1 species
GAUGAACGCUGGCGGCGUGCUUAACACAUGCAAGUCGAACGAAGCAUUUGCGACAGAUUUUUUCGGAAUGAAGUUGCUUAUGACUGAGUGGCGGACGGGUGAGUAACGCGGGGGUAACCUGCCUUGUACUGGGGGAUAGCAGCUGGAAACGGCUGGUAAUACCGCAUAAGCGCACAAUGUUUCAUGACAUGGUGUGAAAAACUCCGGUGGUAUAAGAUGGACCCGCGUCUGAUUAGCUAGUUGGUGAGAUAACAGCCCACCAAGGCGACGAUCAGUAGCCGACCUGGGAGGGUGACCCGCCACAUUGGGACUGAGACACGGCCCAGACUACUACGGGAGGCAGCAGUGGGGAAUAUUGCACAAUGGAGGAAACUCUGAUGCAGCGACGCCGCGUGAGUGAAGAAGUAAUUCGUUAUGUAAAGCUCUAUCAGCAGGGAAGAUAGUGACGGUACCUGACUAAGAAGCACCGGCUAAAUACGUG